rnacentral:rRNA from 1 species
GAUGAACGCUGGCGGCGUGCUUAACACAUGCAAGUCGAACGGUGAAGGCGGAGCUUGCUCUGCUGGAUCAGUGGCGAACGGGUGAGUAACACGUGAGCAAUCUGCCCCUGACUCUGGGAUAAGCGCUGGAAACGGCGUCUAAUACUGGAUACGAGCUGCGAAGGCAUCUUCAGCAGCUGGAAAGAAUUUCGGUCAGGGAUGAGCUCGCGGCCUAUCAGCUUGUUGGUGAGGUAAUGGCUCACCAAGGCGUCGACGGGUAGCCGGCCUGAGAGGGUGACCGGCCACACUGGGACUGAGACACGGCCCAGACUCCUACGGGAGGCAGCAGUGGGGAAUAUUGCACAAUGGGCAAAAGCCUGAUGCAGCAACGCCGCGUGAGGGACGACGGCCUUCGGGUUGUAAACCUCUUUUAGCAGGGAAGAAGCGAAAGUGACGGUACCUGCAGAAAAAGCGCCGGCUAACUACGUG